UACGUAGGGGGCAAGCGUUGUUCGGAAUUACUGGGCGUAAAGGGCGCGUAGGCGGCCUUCUAAGUCGGACGUGAAAUCCCUCGGCUUAACCGGGGAACUGCGUCUGAUACUGGAUGGCUAGAGGUUGGGAGAGGGAUGCGGAAUUCCUGGUGUAGCGGUGAAAUGCGCAGAUAUCAGGAAGAACACCCGUGGCUAAGGCGGUUCUCUAGUACGGUACUGACGCUGAGACGCGAAAGCGUGGGGAGCGAACAGG
rnacentral:rRNA from 1 species